rnacentral:rRNA from 1 species
UACAGAGGUCCCAAGCGUUGUUCGGAUUCACUGGGCGUAAAGGGUGCGCAGGUGGGCUGGUAAGUUCGAUGUGAAAGCCCCGGGCUUAACCCGGGAAUGGCAUUGGAUACUACCGGUCUGGAGGAUCGGAGGGGGGACUGGAAUUCUUGGUGUAGCAGUGAAAUGCGUAGAUAUCAAGAGGAACACCAGUGGCGAAGGCGAGUCCCUGGACGAUACCUGACACUGAGGCACGAAAGCCAAGGGAGCAAACAGG